rnacentral:rRNA from 1 species
CACUAUCGUUAACUGAAUACAUAGGUUAACGAGGCGAACCGGGGGAACUGAAACAUCUAAGUACCCCGAGGAAAAGAAAUCAACCGAGAUUCCCCCAGUAGCGGCGAGCGAACGGGGAGCAGCCCAGAGUCUGAAUCAGCUUGUGUGUUAGUGGAACGGUCUGGAAAGUCCGACGGUACAGGGUGAUAGUCCCGUACACCAAAAUGCACAGGCUGUGAACUCGAAGAGUAGGGCGGGACACGUGGUAUCCUGUCUGAAUAUGGGGGGACCAUCCUCCAAGGCUAAAUACUCCUGACUGACCGAUAGUGAACCAGUACCGUGAGGGAAAGGCGAAAAGAACCCCGGCGAGGGGAGUGAAAAAGAACCUGAAACCGUGUACGUACAAGCAGUGGGAGCACCUUCGGGUGUGACUGCGUACCUUUUGUAUAAUGGGUCAGCGACUUAUAUUCUGUAGCAAGGUUAACCGUAUAGGGGAGCCGCAGGGAAACCGAGUCUUAACUGGGCGUUAAGUUGCAGGGUAUAGACCCGAAACCCGGUGAUCUAGCCAUGGGCAGGUUGAAGGUUGGGUAACACUAACUGGAGGACCGAACCGACUAAUGUUGAAAAAUUAGCGGAUGACUUGUGGCUGGGGGUGAAAGGCCAAUCAAACCGGGAGAUAGCUGGUUCUCCCCGAAAGCUAUUUAGGUAGCGCCUCGUGAACUCAUCUCCGGGGGUAGAGCACUGUUUCGGCUAGGGGGUCAUCCCGACUUACCAACCCGAUGCAAACUACGACUACCGAAGAAUGUUAUCACGGGAGACACACGGCGGGUGCUAACGUCCGUCGUGAAGAGGGAAACAACCCAGACCGCCAGCUAAGGUCCCAAAGUCAUGGUUAAGUGGGAAACGAUGUGGGAAGGCACAGACAGCCAGGAUGUUGGCUUAGAAGCAGCCAUCAUUUAAAGAAAGCGUAAUAGCUCACUGGUCGAGUCGGCCUGCGCGGAAGAUGUAACGGGGCUAAACCAUGCACCGAAGCUGCGGCAGCGACACUAUGUGUUGUUGGGUAGGGGAGCGUUCUGUAAGCCUGCGAAGGUG